AAAGAACUGCAGAGCGAGCAAGCUACCUGUAAAUUGACAUACACUCAUAAUUAUAGUCCUACAUUACAAGCCCAUACAAACUCUGUAAAAAGAAAAAGCGUAGAAAGCGUCCUUCUUGUAAAGCGAGAAAGAAUCUACACCGUCUUGAGCCCAAAAAACCUCCUCAUAGUCAGAGAAUCGCUUCCAGGCACAUCAAUUUCGAGUUCGACUCCUCCGAGCACGACCCCAUCAUCCAUGAUCACUCUCAAGUACAAAUGGAACGACAACACCGGGAGGCAACCACAUCCAACAUAUGUAUAUAGGAACCACAGCAAACAUCCUGCCACCCACAAAAUAUAACCCGGAAUAAGCCCACUCACUGAACUGAACAAAUGCUUUGAGAGAACGACAACAUUUCAUGAUCUUUUUAACUGAUCUAAGCAACCUGACAGUUCAUCAGAACUAAUUUCAGUCAACCAAGAUUAUGUCAUAACUAAAAUCACAAGUGCACCUCAAAAUCAAAGUAUCCAUGUGCAAUCAGAGAGAAGCAACAGACUGCUCUUUUAUCUUAUAUUUCUCAUAUGACAAUCUGACAUGCUGAUGCUGUUUUUGUAAUCAGCACAAUAUCGCAUAUCAAUGAACAUGAAAAUAAAAAAUAUGGGCGAUGGGCGUAGAUAAUAUGCACAAACAACAAUGGGAUUCUGGGAAUCAAAUCAAAAGAAAUGGGGGAGGGAUUAAAUCAGCAUGAUAGUUUGUCAUGCUAAUGUUGUUUUUGUAUUCGGUAAAAUAUCGCAUAUCAAUAUAUGUUUUUAUGUCCCUAAAAAAUUGUCAGAUGAACUACACAGCAGAAGCAGUUUUAGCUAACAUAAGAAUACACCAUCAUUAGCUAUACAGGUGUACAACCUCGAUAAUUAAAACAUCACCAUCUUUCUCUAGUUUACAACAUAAUUAUAUUACUGAGUAUGAUUUACUCACCUGAUAUAGAUCACAAUUGAGUCCAAUAUACUCGAGAAAUAUUUUGAGAUGAGCACAGAAAAUUGGAUCGAAUCGAUCGCUGAGUCGUUGCAUGGAGCCAAGACGGAAAUCAGUACUUGCAAUCAGCUUGGGAAUCAGUUGCUCAUGCUCAAGAAAUUAUUCUUUUUUUCUAAGCCAAAAAGGUGCACAAUCCGAACCAUGGUAAUAAAGUAUUUUUUCUAACCAAUUAUGAAUGAGACUGAGAGCAUCAAAAUAGAUCUACAUAUACUCUUCCUAAUUUUAUUUUCUUCUACUAAAUCAACAUAGAAUAGCAAUAGGAGGAGCUUACCCAUCUUGUUCUUCCCAACAGCUCUAGAGGACUGCAUCUCUGCCCCUAGGGACCCGAUCCCCCCAACCCUGCAAAUGAACAUAUCAUAUCAUAUCCGACCCCCAUUUGUAUAAAAAAAAUAGUAGUAUAUUUGAGAAAAGAACACAAGAUAAAACAUCAUUUGAAACCCAUGUAUAAGCAGGAGGUCAGCCAUUUUCACUGUCUCUCCGGCGGUUAAAGACUGAAAGGGAAGCAGCUCAUCCACUGUUUUGCUGGCAUUGGAGCAACCAGACGCAAGAACUACCAAAGGCACUGCUACCAUCAGGAUAAAACUGUAGAACUUGAAAGAUGCCGUUAUGGCUGCAGAUAUAUAGGAUAUUUGCAAUGUGAUUAUGUUACGGGCAAUAUUUAAUUAGAUUGUAUGUCUCUUAACUUAUUUCGUGUUACCUUCUUGUAAUUAGAAAUUGCCACUGUAGCCUCAACUAUUGUGUCCUGGGCAUAUUAACAGCAAAUUUGAACACACACACACACAAGAGAGAGAGAGAGAGAGAGAGAGAGAGAGAGGGAGGGAGGGAGGGAGGCUACACUGGCACACAGGAAAGGCAACAGUCAUAUGCAUCCGCAUGUUUUUUACACAAGCAAGCAAUCAAACCACUUGCCCCGAAUAAAUUUUUUCUGUUCUUCUAGCUGUAGUACGCUAAUCAAGCAUAUGUUUGGGGGAAUAAUUCUAUGGACUAUUGACUCACUUUCCUAGCAUUGCUCGUCAGAUUCAGAGGCAUUUAAAUUACAACAAUGGAAAUCUGAACUUAAUAAUAAUCAAAAGGAUUGAGAGAGAAGGGAGCAUCUUACCAGUUGAAAGAUAUGCAAGAGUAUGGCUUUGCCCAGGCCGUAUUCUUCCACAACACCACCUCCUCCUGUGGUUGUGUGCAGCUACCCGCCAGAGAACGUGUCUAGCGAAAUCUGCCCGUCAUGUGAUUCUUUUGACAGUACAAACCAACUGUUGCAAAAUCCAAGCAAAAAGAAGUCUCAAAUCGGGUGAAAAUAGAGGAAGGCACUAACCGUGAAAGGAUCCGUGAUGAACCUGGGAUACACGAGCACAUUGCCGUUGACGGCCUCGAGGUACUUAAGCCCGGCGUCGAACACGGUGCCGCCCUCAUCCCCUGCCGCCCCGUCUGGCAUCAAACCCGGCGCUGCCCUUGUCGCCCUCGCCCCGCGUCGCCACGACGGAGAU
rnacentral:lncRNA from 1 species